GUCCCUGUAGCACAAUGAAUUGCGCGUUGGACUUCUAAUCCAAAGGUCGUGGGUUUGAAUCCCACCUGGGAUG